GAUCCUGGACCGUUCCCGCGUGCUGUUCUCCACGUACAAAGCCGACGGCCCCCAUUUGCAACUUUGCUAACUUAGUUGGCUUCGGCCCAGCCGGCCCCCGAAGCACAUUCGCGGUGAAAACGUUAUGACCCCAGAAAAUCACUUCCACGACAAGGCCAGUGUUCGAAAGCACAAAGGCAGACACUGUCCCCCCCGCGACCGCUGGGAAGUUGCUGGACGCGGGGCGACCGUGAGGAGCGCGCGUGCAGGAGGGUAGAGGAACAUGGAAAGCAGCUUUUAUUCACGCCAAGGACAACUCACUCACAUACAACGAGGGGCAGAAGAAGUCUCUAGUGAUUCCUAGAGUAUGGAUGAUGGCAUUGCCUGAGUUGAGAGUCACAUAUGAAGAAGCCAAAAUCGAUUGUCUUGAUGUCAUCGAGUCACAGCUCACCAAUCUCAUGUCAAUGUGAUGGGUUAGGAAUUGUCAGGCUACAGUUAUUGGCUUUUGAAAAAUGAGGAGUCAACACAAUCUGCUUUUAGGAAGGGACAUGUAUGUUAAUAGACUAUUUUGGGGUGGGGAAAAAAAUGAAUGUAA